GACGAACGCUGGCGGCGUGCCUAACACAUGCAAGUCGAGCGGAGUCGAUCGACGGAAGCCUUCGGGCGGAAGAUGGUUGACUUAGCGGCGGAUGGGUGAGUAACGCGUGGGCAACCUGCCUCGAAGACCGGGAUAACAGCCCGAAAGGGCUGCUAAUACCGGAUGUGGUCAAGGAUCCGCAUGGAUUUUUGAUUAAAGGGGAAACCCGUUUCGAGAUGGGCCCGCGUCCUAUCAGCUAGUUGGUGAGGUAAAAGCUCACCAAAGGCGACGACGGGUAGCCGGCCUGAGAGGGUGACCGGCCACACUGGAACUGAGACACGGUCCAGACUCCUACGGGGGCAGCAGUGGGGAAUCUUCCACAAUGGGCGAAAGCCUGAUGGAGCGACGCCGCGUGAGCGAAGAAGGGCCUUCGGGUUGUAAAGUACUACUGUCUGGAGGGACGGAAGGAAGGUGACGGUACUCCGGAGGAAGACCACGGCGUAACUACGUAGCCAGCAGCCGCGGUAAAACCACGUAAGUAGUCUA
rnacentral:rRNA from 1 species